AUUGAACGCUGGCGGCAGGCCUAACACAUGCAAGUCGAACGAGUGGCGGACGGGUGAGUAAUGUCUGGGAAACUGCCUGAUGGAGGGGGAUAACUACUGGAAACGGUAGCUAAUACCGCAUACCAUCGGAUGUGCCCAGAUGGGAUUAGCUAGUAGGUGGGGUAAAGGCUCACCUAGGCGACGAUCCCUAGCUGGUCUGAGAGGAUGACCAGCCACACUGGAACUGGGACAGGGGCCAGACGCCUACGGGAGGCAGCAGUGGGGAAUAUGGCACAAUGGGCGCAAGCCUUAGGCAGCCAGGCCGCGUGUAUGAAGAAGGCCUUCGGGUUGUAAAGUACUUUCAGCGGGGAGUCGGUACCCGCAGAAGAAGCACCGGCUAACUCCGUGCCAGCAGCCGCGGUAAUUC
rnacentral:rRNA from 1 species